GGCUGGAGGAUGUGAGUGCCGAUUUGCGUGUUUUGGGCAUCAGAGGAUGGGAGAAUGUGACGGAGAGGAGAGACGAUUGGAGGCGAAUUGUGCAGGAGGCCAAGGUCCACAUCGGACUGUAGCGCCAAUGAAAGUAAAGUAAGUGUUAAGAUUGUUGAG